rnacentral:rRNA from 1 species
UAACCUGGUUGAUCCUGCCAGUAGUGUAUGCUUCUCCUAAAGACUAAGCCAUGCAUGCCUUCGAAUAAGAGGAAGCAAUUCUCUCUGAAUCUGCGAACGGCUCCGCAAACCAGUUGUAAACUAUAGCAAGCAAUCCUGUGGUUGGGCUUCGGCUCGGCCAUGGGUAACAUGGAUAACCCUGGUAAUUCUGAGGCUAAUACAAGAACGUACAACCUGGCUAACCGGCAACGGAAGGCUGGGGAACGUGCAACGUAUCGUAAUGGAUACCGGGAAAGGGUGCACGUUUGGACCGCGCUAAAGACAGUCCUUGGUAAGCCCUUGCGGGCAAGCCUUGGCCUGAGCGGCUCUUGCGGUGUGCUUCUGACCUAUCAACUAGACGGCAGCGUAAGGGACAUGCUAUGGUUACAACGGGUACAGAGGAUAAGGGUUCGAUCCUGGAGAGUGGGCCUGAGAGAUUGCUC